AUUGAACGCUGGCGGCAGGCCUAACACAUGCAAGUCGAACGAGUGGCGGACGGGUGAGUAAUGUCUGGGAAACUGCCUGAUGGAGGGGGAUAACUACUGGAAACGGUAGCUAAUACCGCAUACCAUCAGAUGUGCCCAGAUGGGAUUCGCUAGUGGGUGGGGUAACGGCGCACCAAGGCGCCGAUCCCUAGCUGGUCUGAGCGGAGGACCAGCAACACUGGAACUGAGAGACGGUCCAGACGCCUACGGGAGGCAGCAGUGGGGAAUAUUGCACAAUGGGCGAAAGCCUGAUGCAGCCAUGCCGCGUGUAUGAAGAAGGCCGUCGGGUUGUAAAGUACUUUCAGCGGGGAGGCGUUACCCGAAGAAGAAGCACCGGCUAACUCCGUGCCAGCAGCCGCGGUAAUUC
rnacentral:rRNA from 1 species